GAUGAACGCUGCCAGAAUGCUUAACACAUCAGCAAUUGAUUGGUGGCGGACGGGUGAGUAACGCGUAAAGAACUUGCCUCACAGCUAGGGACAACAUUUGGAAACGAAUGCUAAUACCUAAUACUGUGAGAGAGCUUUGCGUCCCAUUAGCUAGUUGGAGAGGUAACGGCUCACCAAGGCGAUGAUGGGUAGCCGGCCGGAGGGGGUGAUCGGCCACAAGGGGAAUGAGAUACGGCCCUUACUACGACGGGAGGAAGAAGGGGGGAAUAUUGGACAAUGGACCAAAGUCUGAUCCAGCAAUUCUGUGUGCACGAUGAAGUUUUCGGAAUGUAAAGUGCUUUAAGUUGGGAAGCGGUACCAACAGAAGAAGGGACGGCUAAAUACGUGCGAGCAGCAGCGGUAAAAC
rnacentral:rRNA from 1 species